GUACUGCUAACUGUGUAGCUUGGACAGGUCACUUCACCUCUCUGAACCUCUUCCAGCCACUAGCCGGACAGAGGGAAGAAUAAAUGGGAUGGUGCACCAGCCCAGUGCAGGGGCUAGGCGCGGGGCGGGGGGGGGGGGGGUCCCUCUCCUUCCAUUGGACACCAGGCCCCUCUCUUGUGGCCUCGUUUUCCUGUCUCCCAAGCCAGCCCAGGGCCCAGUGCCAUGUCUGAGCUGGACACCAUCAAGUCAGACACGCACCAGCAAUAUGCAGGCCUCUGUGAAGAGACGUUCAAAGACUUUGCUGGAAGUUAUUGAACCUUUCCCUAGAAAAAUCUGCCUGCACCAGACGUGGUUGAUUUGACGCACAGUUUCAAAGGGCGCGUUGGUUUGUGGUGUCCACUCGUAGGCACAGCCGAAGCAAGUGUUCAAGACCAGCUGUCUCCUUGUACUGCUGUGGGAAAAGCUGAGAGUAAAGAGAGUGAGUUGUCGUCUCGGGCCGGCCAGGGGGCAUCUCUGCCAUUUCCAGUUUCCUCGAGAUCAUACAGAAUACAAACAGUCGGGGUCGCCUCUGCUCCCUUAACCAACCAGAGCCCAGCCCCAGAAGGUCCUGCCUCAGGAGUCCGAGUCUCCCACGCUCUGCCCUUCCUGCCCAGCAUCUUGAUCACAUCGUUGCCUCGUUUGGAAUCUGCCCCAUCCAAAUCCUACCCACCCUGGAAAGUCCGGCUGUCCGGGCAAUCCUCCCGCAGAGUCUGCCCCGACACCCCUUUCCUUCGGCCUCCCGGACCCCCCCCCCCCCCCCCAGAGCCUGUGACCUGCCUCUGUCACCCAGCGCAGUGAAGGCCUGAGGCCAGUGAGACCCCUGGGCUACAGGACCAGCCUUGCCGCUCUCUGGGGGCGCCUCCAGGCACACCCACCACCACCUUCCCCCAGUUACCAGCCAGUAUGUGCAGGGCCCCUGCGACGGCGGCCAGCCUGGCCUUCCUGGAGAGCUCCAUGCUCCCGAUGUUUAUGCAGCGCAGCCCCGCCAUGCCUAGGAAGAGGCCCAGGAAGCCCAGGAAGAUGGCGGUGAUCAUGAGCGCCCGGCAGGCCUGGAGGUCCCACGUGGCACAGCCCCUAGACAUCAUGAAUUUUCCAGCUUGGGUGAAACGGGGUUGCCGCGCCCCACACAGCCAGGCCGGCGGAGACGGCACUGUGAUGGCCUGCGUGAAGAACCAUCACAACGUGGGGUGCCCUGACGCCCCCCGAUGCCGGGCAGCUGCCCUCUGCCCUUCCCCCUGGAGCCAGCUCUUGCCCCUCCAUCAGCAGUUCCAAGUGGGGCCCUUCUCGGGGCCUACAGGCUCCCGGCAAACGCCCCUCUUCAAACCGCGGUGUGGCUGAGGGAUGGGUGAGGCAGGAAGGUCCAGUGCUGCUAAGCCGGCUGCCUGCAAUGUCCCUUCUGGCCACCUGGCAUUCGGGGCUUCUGGUCCAGAUGGUACCCAGCUUUUAUCGGGAGCUUGGGGAGGGCACGUGCCCUGCACAUGGCAAAUCCUGGAGAGAGGGAUGAAGGCACGAAAUCCCCGCUGGAUCAGGAGAUUCUGGGAAUCGCAGGGGCACGAGAGACCCACGCAGACCCCUUAACUGUGCAGAGCAUCUCUGGCGUUCCCGCAGCCCUGUUCCAAACCCAGUGUUGGCUUUAGUUCCAUCCACUUCCCGGCACCUACAGUGGGGAACCGGAAGAGCACGACGGCUCCAAGGGGGGUGCGGGAGUGGCACCAAAAAGAGGACCUGGUCCUCCCCUCCUGGUCUCCGGCACGGGCCUACCGAAAAGACUCCCCCGAGGGAUGCUGGGGACUGCUCGGUGAACAGGAAGCAGGAAGAUGCUAUACCACCAAGGAGAACCUUUCUGGAACAAAAGACCUGUACGUUCCGGCCCUCCGAGAACUUCAAACAAUCCACUGCCUGAGAACGCCGAACACACAUGCACACACACCCCUAGCUGCUUCCACCAGACACAGCGCCGCGGGAAGUCUCGCUUGAAGAGGGCCCUUGAGAAUUCGCCGUGGCAGUGGCACCGAUGCCUUUUAAGGGUCUCAAUGCCAAGAACCCAAGAUGGGCCUCCUCUGCACCCCCACGACCCCCAGCACUCUCACCACAAAGCUGAGAUGCUGAAGUCGGUCGUGUGCGCACACGGGCCAACGAGAAUCACGCUAACGUCCCGGGCUGUAGCUCAACACUCACAACCAUGCCACGCGCCUGUGCACGUUCCCCCGGUUUUACAGUUGGGGUGAACGAAGCUCGUUUCAUCACCUGCCGGGGGCACCGAGCUGGUCAGCUGAGCCCGGCAGUCUGGCCCUGGUGCCUGCACUUGGAACCACUAGGGGUGUCACAUUAGGGCAGGGGGACACGUGGGACGAGGUCUCCAGUGCGGCUCCAGAUGGGGGCCGCCGGGCACUCCCAGCUCCCCGAGCUCGAUCCAGGCCUCCCUUAUCGGCUCGGUGCCCAAGGCCCGACCGUGGGCAGCAGUCACCCUCCCCGGGGGUCUCUCCCCACCUCCCGCCGCCCCCUGGAGCGGGCCACCCCGCUCUCUCCACCCCAUACCGGAGAGGGCCAGCAAGGACGGGAACUCCCGGCAGCUGUAGACUCCCAGGGAGUCGGUGGCACAGCUAAACCAGAGGUUCUCGAAGAUGGUGUUGGUGGUGAUGACGCUCCCGUGCACGGUGGACACUCGCCAGUAGCUGUGUGGCAGGGUCACCCCCAGCAUCAGCAGCCCCAGGGCCGCCAUGAAGAAGCCGAAGAUCUCCACGGCCACCGACAUGGUGAGAUGCAGGGCCCUGAGGGGCGCCUGGGGCCCCAGAGGAGGGGAGGGGCUGAGCCCCAAGGGAACUUGAGGGGCUUUGGCUAAGGAGGGGUGUUAAGGCAGGCUGGAGAGAAAGGUGGAGAGAGCAGGGGGGGCCAGCAGCAACCUGGGGUGCAGAUCUGCCCCCACCCCCCCCCCCGGCGUCUGCCCCCUGCCCUCCCUCUGGGUUCCUGCUUCCCCGAAGGUCCGGGCAGAGGAAUGAGCCCAGAGCGCCGGGCAGCUGUUGACGCGGAGAUGGAGGGAAGCAACGGAACGGGCCAAAAGUCCACCCCCUCCCCCAGCCUCUGGGCUCCCCGCCCCACAAGGGGGGCGGAGAGGACUAAUGGGAGUGACCAACGAACGGAUGGGGCUGAGGGGGCCCCCAUGGGAGGCACUGGGAGCAGAGGGGAAGCCGGAUGGGGCUGAGGGGGCCCCCAUGGGAGGCACUGGGAGCAGAGGGGAAGCGGGGGAAGUCGCUCUGACUCAGCUCUCAUGGGGGGCCGGAGAAUGGAGCCAGGACAAGGAAAGAGAAGGUGACUGAGAGACCGGGGCCACAGACAGACCUUUCGCGGGGCAGGAUCCGGGGAGCGGAGCCCCCCUCCUGGAUGUUGGUGAGAACAAUUUAAGAAACUCCAAAGACUUAGGGUUUGGGCUACUGAGUCACCGAGGAAGAUUAAGGUUGAGUAAGGCAUCAGGGCGUCUGGGUGGAACCCGCGGCUCUGGAGUCCAGUCAACCUGGAUUCAAACCAGACCCACCAUCUACCAGAACCACAAGGGCCUGGAGUCUGAGCCCCUCGGGCUUGUUCCUGCUUCUGUGAACUAGAACUGGCUCCCUCACCGCUGUGACCCCAGAUCAAAAGCUCCCUGCACGUGGGAACUGCUCCAUCCUCGGGGACCACUCUGGCUCCGGUGCCGCGGGCACAGGGUGAGGCCACCAGUGGGUUGCUUCCCUCCAAACUUCAACUUCUUGAACUUGAAUUUCCCCCCCUCGUCAGGUUGAUCUUUGACUCUCGGCAACAAGCUUGAUCUCGCUGCCAAGGGCCACCAAGGGGGAUAAAUCACAGGCCCAGAACGUGAUCCUGUGGCUAAUCUAAGCAGCUCAGUUAU